AGUGAACGCUGGCGGUAGGCCUAAUACAUGCAAGUCGAACGAAAGCACAGUAAGCUUUCGCUCUUACGGGCGGCGAGUGGCGGAUGAGUGAGGAAUACAUAACCAUCUACUUAUUCGUGGGGGAUUACGGAGGGCAACAUACGCUAAUAGAGCAUAUGACCUACGGGUGAAAGCAGUGGAUCUACGCAGCUUUCGCGACACUUUGAGCUGAUGUCGGAUUAGCUAGUUGGCGAGGUAAAGGCCCACCAAGGCGACGAUCCGUAGCUGGUCUGAGAGGGUGAUCAGCCACACUGGAACUGAGACACGGUCCAGACUCCUACGGGAGGCAGCAGUGGGGAAUAUUGGGCAAUGGGCGCAAGCCUGAUCCAGCCACACCGCGUGGGUGAAGAAGGCCUUCGGGUUGUAAAGCCCUGUUGUUGGGAAAGAAAAGAUGCAGAUUAAUACCCCGCUGUCUUGACGGUACCCAAAGAAUAAGCAACGGCUAACUUCGUG
rnacentral:rRNA from 1 species